UGAAGUUGUCAGGAGACAGGGCCUC
rnacentral:piRNA from 1 species